GACGAACGCUGGCGGCGUGCUUAACACAUGCAAGUCGAACGGAAAGGCCCUGCUUUUGUAGGGUGCUCGAGUGGCGAACGGGUGAGUAACACGUGAGUAACCUGCCCUUGACUUUGGGAUAACUUCAGGAAACUGGGGCUAAUACCGGAUAGGAGCUCCUGCUGCAUGGUGGGGGUUGGAAAGUUUCGGCGGUUGGGGAUGGACUCGCGGCUUAUCAGCUUGUUGGUGGGGUAGUGGCUUACCAAGGCUUUGACGGGUAGCCGGCCUGAGAGGGUGACCGGCCACAUUGGGACUGAGAUACGGCCCAGACUCCUACGGGAGGCGGCAGUGGGGAAUAUUGCACAAUGGGCGGAAGCCUGAUGCAGCAACGCCGCGUGCGGGAUGACGGCCUUCGGGUUGUAAACCGCUUUCGCCUGUGACGAAGCGUGAGUGACGGUAAUGGGUAAAGAAGCACCGGCUAACUACGUG
rnacentral:rRNA from 1 species